rnacentral:misc_RNA from 1 species
AAAGUACGAUAUCUUAAGUGAAUCGCAACUAGCGCGACUCUUUAAAAUUUUGAACGCAUAGUGUGCCCUUGUGUAACAGCUUGGGCGUAUUUGUAUGAGCGCCAUUUAUAAAAUAUCAUAGCUUCCUGCUGUGGCAGUGGAUGUUGCAAUCUUUUGAUUGAAUCAUCUGAAAACAUUGAGAAAGCAAUGGGAGUGGUCUUUACAGGUCAUGACCUUGCAAUUCUUUCAGUGGUAAGAGUAUUCCUCAUUAUACUGAAGAGUUGUCUGAGUAAACUGUUGCUGUAUCAGUUCAGUUACAUAUUGAUCAUUCAGUUGGUCUGUGUAGUUGACAACCUACAAUCUUGGCUUCAUAUCAAGUACGAUUACCCGCUGAAUUUAA